AGUUUAACAUUACAACCAAAUAAAAAAAAAAAUUUGUAUAAAAUAUUUUCUUAGAAAAUUAUUUCCAUAGAAAAUAUUUUCCAUAUAUAAGUGAUUUUCCAUGAAACAAAUGGAACUUAAAUAAUCCUAGAUUUUCCACAAACAAACAAAAAAAAUUCAACAAUCAAACCCUAUUUUUUUCCAAACAAACUCAACAAUAAAAAAAACCCAACAAUCAAAGAAACUCAAAUUUCAGGAUUGCAAGGACUUGAUGUUUGCACCUCUCUUCCAUUCACCGCUAAAGAGACUCACCCAAGGGACUAUUGUUGCAAUCAACAUUGACACUUUUGGAUUUUGGAAUCUAGAAGUAGAUGGCAAUGACGUUGACAGAUGGUGAUGGAGGACUUGCCGAGGUGGAUUAUCAUCGUCGAUUCCCAGAGAGAGUUUUUCUUCUUGCAAUCGCAACAUCACUUUUCUGGCAAGUUUCGGCAUGGAGAUUUAAAAACGUGAGGAGUGGGUGGGUGGGUUUGUGGGCACUGGAAGGAGGAGGAGGGAGACUGUUAUAUGGGAACUGGGCAAAAAAAGUAGCACAACAGAGGUUGAAAAGUUCAGUAGGGUCAGUCAGUUCAGUUAUUUUGACCUCACUAAUCGAACCAAUUUUUUCCAAGAACAAUAACUGAAAUGGAAACUGAACCAAAAAAACUGAAUUAAUUCAAUUUGGUUUGGUUUUUCAGUUAUAACUGGUUUCUGCUCAGCCCCAGAGACAAUGAGCGAAAUUACAAAGGACCAACAAAAAUCAUCUAAAGUCUCGGCAGUAGUAACUUCUAAGCUAUAGGCUGCUUGCUACAAAUAAAGAGAGGCAUCAUUUAACAAUCUAUUGGAUUGAACACUUCAAGAAGCUAUUACAAGCCACUUUCAACUACAAGAGCAACUGACUAAAUAUGUGCUCCAAGAUGAUGCCUACAAUAUAAAUUGGUUAUGACUCGUAAAAUCAAAUAUCAACUAUCAAUUCAAUGAACUUUGCUCCAAAGAUUAAUUUUUUGGGCAAGGAUAUACAAGAUAAAGCAAGGAUGCAAUAGAAGUGUUGCAAUAAAACAUUGUCUAUGUCUAGUUUUAAGAUGUGCAGAAAACAGACCAUUCGGGAGAUUUCUGAAGUGCUCGAACUUGUUCGUAAAAGAGAACUUGAGAAACUAUACAUGCCACCUUGCUGCCUGACUCUAAAGCCUUUUCCUUUCCACUUUCAUCAACAACAACAAAACUCCCUGCACAUCAUCAAACCAAUUUAAACACCAAGUCUAAUACGUUUCCAAUCAGUUCAUGGAUAAAAGAUGCUUCAGAUCAACUCAAGAGCCAACUAAUAACCAAUCUAAUGCUAGAGCAGGAUAUGGAUAUCAUAUGAAACAAGACCUCGUUUUAUCCACAUGCUCUUCUGGAACUUAGCUGGAAAUAACGCCAAUGACUUCUCACCUCUUGCGUCCAUUACCUCAAUGAGAUUGGAACCUCUAAGAGACACCACUUGCAUGAUGCUUUGGCCAUGUUCAAGCGUUAAGUUAUAUUCCUCUGUUGCCCUCUUCAGAUUCUUCCUUCCGCCUUUCAUUAUCUCCGUCUUCCCCCAAUUAUAUAUAGUAAUAUAUUCUUAAACUGAAGCAGGAUAUUUAUAAUGGUUACGAAUGAUGAUUAUAAAAGUGAAUCCUUCCUACGUCUAAUAAAUAGUAAAGAUUCAACUAUUUGAAUCUGCACACAAGAGCAUCCUACCCAAGCCCUUGACACUGACAACCCAAUUUGUAUCUAUGAGCAAUUGUUGUUGUCGUCCGAAUCAACUGUGAAUGCUUGGUUGAUCUCUAAAAGCGAGAAUGGUGAAUCUGACAUCAAUGACUCCGCCGCUCAGCCAGGGUCUUCCGAUGACAGUAGCUGCAGAGAGGGAAUGCGUGGCACUGAGAGGGGAAAGAGGAGAGCUUUUG
rnacentral:misc_RNA from 1 species